CCCGGGAUAGCCCAGGGAAACCUGGAUUAAUACCGGAUGAGACGGGACCCGCGAUGGCGGGAUCCGGGAAGGCGCUGCGGCGCCGCCGGGGGAUGAGUCUGCGUCCCAUUAGCUAGACGGCGGGUAACGGCCACCGUGGCGACGAUGGGUAGCCGGCCUGAGAGGGUGGACGGCCACAUUGGAACUGAGACACGGUCCAGACUCCUACGGGAGGCAGCAGCUAAGAAUCUCCGCAAUGGGCGAAAGCCUGACGGAGCGACGGCCCGCGUGAACGAAGAAGGCCGUGAGGUUGUAAAGUUCUUUUCGGGAGGGGGAACAACCGUGGCAGGGAAUGGCCGCGGGAUGACGUGAAUCCCGGAAUAAGCCCCGGCUAACUACGUGCCAGCAGCAGC
rnacentral:rRNA from 1 species